rnacentral:rRNA from 1 species
GUGAGGAAUAUUGGUCAAUGGGCGGGAGCCUGAACCAGCCAAGUCGCGUGAAGGAAGAAGGAUCUAUGGUUCGUAAACUUCUUUUGCAGGGGAAUAAAGUGCAGGACGUGUCCUGUUUUGUAUGUACCCCGAGAAUAAGGAUCGGCUAACUCCGUGCCAGCAGCCGCGGUAAUACGGAGGAUCCGAGCGUUAUCCGGAUUUAUUGGGUUUAAAGGGUGCGUAGGUGGUUUGAUAAGUCAGCGGUGAAAGUUUGCAGCUUAACUGUAAAAAUGCCGUUGAAACUGUCGGACUUGAGUGUAAAUGAGGUAGGCGGAAUGCGUGGUGUAGCGGUGAAAUGCAUAGAUAUCACGCAGAACUCCGAUUGCGAAGGCAGCUUACUAAGCUACAACUGACACUGAAGCACGAAAGCGUGGGGAUCAAACAGGAUUAGAAACCCCGGUAGUCC